rnacentral:tmRNA from 1 species
GGGGGCGACUGGCUUCGACGGGGUAAGUGCAACUGAAGCUGCGUGCUCAGGUAUCCGGGCUCCUGGUAAAACACUCGGAAAAGAUCCAACUGCGAACAACAACUUCGCUCUCGCUGCGUAACCUGGUUUUUCCAGGUACGUGAGCAGUGCUCACGAGGAAGCCCGCCUGGGGCGUCACGUGAGUAUCGCAAAUCCGGGCUAGUCUGGCGUCACGCUUUCGGGCACCGGGCGAAUGCAAAGGAAGGCUUACCUGAACGUCGGCUUCCUCUUGGCCAUCGGGCAGGGACAUCCAACAAGAGGAUACGCAUGUAGACGCUUUGGUGAAUCUAUUCUCGGACCCGGGUUCAAUUCCCGGCGCCUCCACUU